UGGUAGAGGCGCGGCAGGUCAAGAGUACCGCGCGGCAGAGGCUGGCAAGCCGCCGCGCGCGAAAGGGGCCGCCGCCGAAGCGCGCGCAUCCGUUGCCACGGGGCGCGGGCUGGGGCGCAGGAGAACAUCCGGCGCACUGUCACGAAAGUGGAGCGCUAUCA
rnacentral:ncRNA from 1 species